CCUGGCUUAGGACGAACGCUGGCGGCGUGCCUAACACAUGCAAGUCGAGCGAGGAGAUCCUUCGGGAUGAUCCUAGCGGCGGACGGGUGAGUAACACGUGGGCAACCUGCCUCAUAGAGAGGAAUAGCCUUCCGAAAGGGAGAUUAAUACCUCAUAACAUUGCAGUUUCGCAUGGAACAGCAAUUAAAGGAGUAAUCCGCUAUGAGAUGGGCCCGCGGCGCAUUAGCUAGUUGGUGAGGUAACGGCUCACCAAGGCGACGAUGCGUAGCCGACCUGAGAGGGUGAUCGGCCACAUUGGGACUGAGACACGGCCCAGACUCCUACGGGAGGCAGCAGUGGGGAAUAUUGCACAAUGGGGGAAACCCUGAUGCCAGCAACGCCGCGUGAGUGAUGACGGCCUUCGGGUUGUAAAGCUCUGUCUUCAGGGACGAUAAUGACGGUACCUGAGGAGGAAGCCACGGCUAACUACGUGCCAGCCGCCGC
rnacentral:rRNA from 1 species